rnacentral:rRNA from 1 species
CUUGCUUGGUGGAUCAGUGGCGAACGGGUGAGUAACACGUGAGCAACCUGCCCUGGACUCUGGGAUAAGCGCUGGAAACGGCGUCUAAUACUGGAUAUGAGACGUGAUCGCAUGGUCGUGUUUGGAAAGAUUUUUCGGUCUGGGAUGGGCUCGCGGCCUAUCAGCUUGUUGGUGAGGUAAUGGCUCACCAAGGCGUCGACGGGUAGCCGGCCUGAGAGGGUGACCGGCCACACUGGGACUGAGACACGGCCCAGACUCCUACGGGAGGCAGCAGUGGGGAAUAUUGCACAAUGGGCGGAAGCCUGAUGCAGCAACGCCGCGUGAGGGAUGACGGCCUUCGGGUUGUAAACCUCUUUUAGCAGGGAAGAAGCGAAAGUGACGGUACCUGCAGAAAAAGCGCCGGCUAACUACGUGCCAGCAGCCGCGGUAAUACGUAGGGCGCAAGCGUUAUCCGGAAUUAUUGGGCGUAAAGAGCUCGUAGGCGGUUUGUCGCGUCUGCUGUGAAAUCCCGAGGCUCAACCUCGGGCCUGCAGUGGGUACGGGCAGACUAGAGUGCGGUAGGGGAGAUUGGAAUUCCUGGUGUAGCGGUGGAAUGCGCAGAUAUCAGGAGGAACACCGAUGGCGAAGGCAGAUCUCUGG